UACGAAGGGGGCUAGCGUUGUUCGGAUUUACUGGGCGUAAAGCGCACGUAGGCGGAUUGUUAAGUUAGAGGUGAAAUCCCGGAGCUCAACUCCGGAGCUGCCUUUAAUACUGGCAAUCUAGAGUCCGGAAGAGGUAAGUGGAACUCCUAGUGUAGAGGAGGAAUUCGUAGAUAUUAGGAAGAACACCAGUGGCGAAGGCGGCUCACUGGCCCGAUACUGACGCUGAGGUGCGAAAGCAUGGGUAGCAAACAGG
rnacentral:rRNA from 1 species